CAAUAAAAAAAAAAAAGUAACAAUGUGAUUUUGAUUCAACAUCUUGCUUGCACUCUCAGUGCAACACAACAACAACUGACUUAAAGGCAUACUCCAUCCCAAAAUGGAAAUUGUCAUUAUUCACUUACCCCCAUGUCGUUCCAAACCCGUAAAAGUUUUGUUUGUCUUCGGAACACAAUUUAAGAUAUUUUGGAUGAAAAAAGGGAGUCUUGAGACUAUCCCAGUAUUCCCGUCGCUUCAUAACUUAAUUAAAAAUCUAUUUAAUUGCAAAUUUAGUUUCCCACCCACACCAACACAGAGAGAAAGACACAAGAAAUCUCAAAUGGCGUUUUAUUACAUUAAAAGCUAAGCCUUUUAAAAAAAAAACAAAUAUCCAAAUCACAAUCUCCUCCUCAACCCAGCAGAGACAAUAAAACCAUAACUUGUCCAAUAUUCUGCCCAGGGUAAUACCAAAGUCCGGUCUGAAAUCAGCCCAGUGAUUCCCCUGCCACUGGUAAAAAUAAAUGUCUGUUUCAGUAGGAUCUCAAAUGACCGGCUUCAACCGAAUCCAGGACCAGGAUCUCCACAGCGCCGCCCCGCGUCUGUCAGUGGGAAAUCAGAAAAAGUAAUUGGGUAGUUUGCACGUAGCCGACAACUGCCAAAACUCAGAUGAAUGGAAUAACAACUUUCCUUUCCUAUACUUCAAAUGGACACAUCAGCAAUACUAUCGUGUCUGCCACUCUGCCGUCGGCUCCCCCGAAUCUGUCACCUUUACAGAGAUGAACAACUAAGAACGACUCCUUUAACACAAUGCUAAGCACACACACACGCGUGCAUUAGCGUGGAAAAAAGAAAGAAUCACUUUCCUUCAAUCGGGGGUUCGUGAGCGUUGACACUGCAGAAUCCGAGAUUCCGUUCUACCAGCGUACAGGAGAUCCAGUCAGCAACAACACAGAGCGGCGAGAUCAGUGAGCGCCCACCCGCUUCAGUACACGGCUCGUUCCUCCGUCCAGAGCGUUCCCCCGGUCACCAUAGCCACCAGAUCCAGUCGGUAUCCAAGUCAGAGGGUCACUGCAGUCACCCGGAUCCAGUACGUAUCCAGCCCAGAUGGUGGAUCAGCACCUAGAAAGGACCUCUACAGCCCUGAAAGACAGUGGAGACCAGGACAACUAGAGCCCCAGAGACAGAUCCCCUGUCUCAGACGACCACUGGGACAAGACCACAAGAAAUAGAUGAUUCUUCUGCACAAUCUGACUUUGCUGCAGCCUGGAAUUGAACUGCUGGUUUCGUCUGGUCAGAGGAGAACUGGCCCCCCGACUGAGCCUGGUUUCUCCCAAGGUUUUUUCUCCAUUCUGUCACCGAUGGAGUUUUGGUUCCUUGCCGCUUUUGCCUCUGGCUUGCUUAGUUGGGGACACUUCAUUUACAGCGAGAUCGUUGACUUGAUUGUGAAUUAUUGCACAGAUACGAUUUAAACUGAACUGAGCUGCAUGAUGACAUGACUGAAUUCAAUGAUGAACUGCCUUUAACUGUCAUUUUGCAUUAUUGACACACUGUUUUCCUAAUUAAUGUUGUUCAGUUGCUUUGAUGCAAUCUUUUUUGUUUAAAGCGCUAUAUAAAUAAAGGUGACUUGACUUGACUUGCU
ensembl:lncRNA